UUGACUGUGCUAAGGUAGCAUAAUCAUUAGUUUUAUAAUUGAAAGCUUGUAUGAAGGGUUGGAUGAAGCACUAACUUUCUUAAAUUAAUUUAUUUAUAAUUUUACUUUUAAGUUAAAAGGCUUAAAUUUAAUAAAGGGACGAGAAGACCCUAUAGAGUUUUAUUUUAAUUUAAUUAUUUUAUUUUGGUAAUUACUUUAAUAUUAAUAUUUAAAUUUGAUUGGGGUGAUUGAAAAAUUAACUUAACUUUUUCUUUUAUAAACAAUAAUUUUUGAUUAAUUGAUCCCUAAAUAGGAUUAUAAGAUUAAACUACCUUAGGGAUAACAGCG
rnacentral:rRNA from 1 species